UGAGCUUGAUCCUGGCUCAGGAUGAACGCUAGCGGCAGGCUUAACACAUGCAAGUCGAGGGGUAGAAGUCUUCGGACUUUGAGACCGGCGCACGGGUGCGUAACGCGUAUGCAAUCUACCUUUUACAGAGGGAUAGCCCAGAGAAAUUUGGAUUAAUACCUCAUAGUAUAAUGACUCGGCAUCGAGAUAUUAUUAAAGUCACAACGGUAAAAGAUGAGCAUGCGUCCCAUUAGCUAGUUGGUAAGGUAACGGCUUACCAAGGCUACGAUGGGUAGGGGUCCUGAGAGGGAGAUCCCCCACACUGGUACUGAGACACGGACCAGACUCCUACGGGAGGCAGCAGUGAGGAAUAUUGGACAAUGGGCGCAAGCCUGAUCCAGCCAUGCCGCGUGCAGGAUGACGGUCCUAUGGAUUGUAAACUGCUUUUAUACGAGAAGAAACACUACUUCGUGAAGUAGCUGACGG
rnacentral:rRNA from 1 species